GACGAACGCUGGCGGCGUGCUUAACACAUGCAAGUCGAACGGAAAGGCCCUGCUUUUGUGGGGUGCUCGAGUGGCGAACGGGUGAGUAACACGUGAGUAACCUGCCCUUGACUUUGGGAUAACUUCAGGAAACUGGGGCUAAUACCGGAUAGGAUCUCCUGCUGCAUGGUGGGGGUUGGAAAGUUUCGGCGGUUGGGGAUGGACUCGCGGCUUAUCAGCUUGUUGGUGGGGUAGUGGCUUACCAAGGCUUUGACGGGUAGCCGGCCUGAGAGGGUGACCGGCCACAUUGGGACUGAGAUACGGCCCAGACUCGUACGGGAGGCAGCGGUGGGGAAUAUUGCACAAUGGGCGGAAGCCUGAUGCAGCAACGCCGCGUGCGGGAUGACGGCCUUCGGGUUGUAAACCGCUUUCGCCUGUGACGAAGCGUGAGUGACGGUAAUGGGUAAGGAAGCACCGGCUAACUACGUG
rnacentral:rRNA from 1 species